GCUUAGCCCUAAACACAGAUAUUAUUCACCACAACACUAUCCGCCAGAGAACUACAAGCGAAAAGCUUAAAACUCCAAGGACUUGGCGGUGCUUCAAACCAACCUAGAGGAGCCUGUCCUAUAAUCGAUACCCCGCGUUUUACCUUACCACCCCUUGACAACCAGCCUAUAUACCGCCGUCGUCAGCCUACCUUAUGAAAGAACCAAAGUAGGCAAAACAAUUAAUAACUAACACGUCAGGUCAAGGUGUAGCACAUGGAGUGGCAGAGAUGGCCUACAUUUUUAACACAUAAACACACGAACAGCACCCUGAAACACAUGCUCGAAGGCGGAUUUAGUAGUAAGAUAGACAAGAAGACCCAUCUUAAACCUGCUCUGAAGCGCGC
rnacentral:rRNA from 1 species